GACGAACGCUGGCGGCGUGCCUAACACAUGCAAGUCGAACGGGGUGAUUCCUUCGGGGAUCACUUAGUGGCGAACGGGUGAGUAACGCGUGAGGAACCUGCCUCUCAGUGGGGGACAACAGUUGGAAACGACUGCUAAUACCGCAUAAUGUUUUCGGACGGCAUGAUCUGAAAACCAAAGAUUUAUUGCUGAGAGAUGGCCUCGCGUCUGAUUAGCUAGUUGGUGGGGUAACGGCCCACCAAGGCGACGAUCAGUAGCCGGUCUGAGAGGAUGCACGGCCACAUUGGGACUGAGAUACGGCCCAGACGCCUACGGGAGGCAGCAGUGGGGAAUAUUGGGCAAUGGGGGAAACCCUGACCCAGCAACGCCGCGUGAAGGAAGAAGGCCUUCGGGUUGUAAACUUCUUUUACCAGGGACGAAGAAAGUGACGGUACCUGGAGAAAAAGCAACGGCUAACUACGUGCCAGCCGCCGCUGUAACAC
rnacentral:rRNA from 1 species